rnacentral:rRNA from 1 species
CCUACGGGCGGCAGCAGUGAGGAAUAUUGGUCAAUGGACGAGAGUCUGAACCAGCCAAUUAGCGUGAAGGAUGACUGCCCUAUGGGUUGUAAACUUCUUUUAUAUGGGAAUAAAAUGUUCCACGUGUGGGAUUUUGUAUGUACCAUAUGAAUAAAGUACGCCUAACUCCGUGCCAGCAGCGCCGGUAAUACGGAGGAUCCAAUCGUUAUCCGGAUUUAUUGGGUUGAAAGGGAGCGUAGGUGGAUUGUUAAGUCAGUUGUGAAGGUUUGCGGCUCAACCGUAAAAUUGCAGUUGAAACUGGCAGUCUUGAGUACAGUAGAGGUGGGCGGAAUUCGUGGUGUAGCGGUGAAAUGCUUAGAUAUCACGAAGAACUCCGAUUGCGAAGGCAGUUCACUGGACUGCAACUGACACUGAGGCUCGAAAGUGUGGGUAUCAAACAGGAUUAGAUACCCGGGUAGUC